rnacentral:lncRNA from 1 species
AGACGGAGGUCUCACUUGGUCACGAGGCUGGAGUGCAGUGGCGCAAUCUCGGCUCACUGCAACCUCUGUCUCCUGGGUUCAAGAGAUUCUCCUGCCUCAGCCUCCCGAGUAGCUGGGACUACAGGCGAGUGCCAUCACGUCCAGCUAAUUUUUGUUAUUUCUAGUAGAGAUGGGAUUUCACCAUGUUGGCCAGGAUGGUAUCAAUCUCUUGACCUCGUGAUCCGCCCGCCUCGGCCUCCCAAAGUGCUGGGAUUACAGGCAUGAGCCACCAUGCCCAGCCACAGAUUCCUUCUUGUGUUCAUUUGAAAUGUGAACUCUGAACAAAGGACAGUUUAUCUUGGAUAGUCUUAUUCCAUGAUUUAUAUAUCACUAAAAGAGCAGAGAAUCUGUAGAUAUUAUAAGUGGGAUCCUUAAUAAUUAAUAUAUGGAAAGAGAAGCUUACCAGAUACCAGGAUUUUUCUGCAUUGCCUGGAAAAGGAGGAUAUCUGCAAACUUUUGUACCCUGUGCACUUAUCAGAUUGGACCUCAGAUGGGACCUCUGCCCCACAGAAUUUCUCUUUAAUGACUCAUUGCUUACUGGUCUAAGAAGAAAAAUAAUUAUAGCCUCAGGUUAGAAAAAUUGAAAUUGAAUCAUUUCACAGUCAGAUUAAUGCUCCAUUAGUCCCAUCUAUAUGAAAGGGAGGAGGGAGUCACCAAGUCAGGUUGGAAAUUCCUUGGGAUGAUUGAAUGUAAGGGAGAAAAACUGUGAUAAUUGACAUAGUCAAGGCAAGAACCCAGUUCCGAAGCAAAUAUUUUCUUUGUGUGAGGAAAGGGUACAGUAUUGCUGGUUCUUUUUUACAUAUAAUAUUACUUUGUAUUCUCCCAAUACUUUAUUUUUUUUUAAAAUGGAUAAGAAAUCAUAACCAGUAGAGAGAGUAAAGAAACACAGGUCUAUUUUCUUUAAUGAAUAUCAUCACUCUUGAGUUAUAACUCUAUUAUCUACAGUCUUGUUAAGUGAAAAUUGUUUCCUCAAUAAGAACACUUUUUUAUAGAAGUUGAAGUUCUCUUCUGGCACACAUUAGAAUUCUCCAGUAUUCAUAUUUCAGUUUUAUUCAUGGUGUCAAAAGGAAUUGAUGUGAUAAAAUUUCCAAUAAUGCAAUGAGAAUAUUCACGUUUGUGCAAAUACCAUGGAGAUGUUGAGAAGUAGAGUGAAGGGACAUUAUGUGAAAAGUAACAUCUCACUGGACUCACCAACUCUAAAUCUUACUUUUUUCUUCAGAGAUGAGGUCUCACUCUGUCACUCAGGCUGGGGUGCAGUGGCAUGAUUAUGGCUCACUGCUACUUUGAAUUCCAGGGCUCAAAGGAUCCUACUGCCUCAGCCUCCUGCGUAGGGAGCCAUCAUACUCGGCCAUUUUUUUAAAAAAAAAUUUUUCUGUAGAGACAAGGUAUCACCAUGUUACCCAGACUGAUCUUGAACCCCUGGCUCAAGCAGUCCUCCCACCUCAGUCUCUCACAGUGCUGAGAUUACAGGUGUGAGCCACCAUGCCUAGCUUAAAUCUUGCUUCUUAUAUAUGCAAUUAUUAACAAUAGAAAGCUGUUUUGUAUUACUAGAUUACUUGGUUUUUCAAAAUUUCAACAACUCUUUUUGAUUUUUAAGAAUAUUGGUUAGAAUGGAAGUAUUGGCAUAAGUCACUAGUUUUCAAAAACAUACCCAGCAGAGUUGAAAGCGAAUGUAAAACGCCAUGGCCUGUUGAUUCUAUCAUCGUAUAGAGUAUUUUUCUGCUUAUGUACUUUUAUUGUUUUGGUUUAGAGACAUGUAUGAUUUAUUACACCAGUAUUUUAAAGCACAUUCUCCCUCUUCAUUUCUGCAAUGUACUGUGUCGAACCAACUUCAUAGGUAAAAGUUGUAAAAUAUUGCUAAUUUCACAUGGUUCAGCCUAAUAGAAUCUCAUGCCCUUUUAAGCCUUGGAGAAGGAAAGCCUCUCAUAUUGUCUCCUUCCAGAUUCUUGGCUCAAUCCAAGCUUCUGCAUAGUUGGAGUGGCAAAUCCCACUCCUGCAUCUGGUGAGCUGUGCAGUUAGCAGCUCUGACACUUUUCUACGCUGUUCAAACAAUUACAGCCCCAAAAUGUGAGUGUGGCCUUAAAAAAGGCUGAUUCCAUGUGACUACCAGAUUGCUUCAAGAUCUGCCCAGUCAUCCCCCUGACUGUGUCAUCCCUUAAAAAUCUGUGUCAUCUGGGUACAGAAAAUUAGAAGAAUGUUCUCUUGAUCUCUGCUUAAAUUUUCAGAAUUUUUCCUUUGAAACCACGAACUAGAGAAUUGGAAUUAGACUUAAUGACUUGACUCUAUGUAGUAUAUAUUUCUUUUCUCCAAACACUGUUUUGUAUACAUGAGGAGGGACAAGAAAUGAAGGAAGGGGAAAAGUAUAGCGUUUCAGCCCCAGAAAGGUACCUUUCACAAUGUAAAUGCAGAGUAUCUGGUUAGACAUAGCCAUUUUGCGCACAAGCACAUUCAGAGAUGAAGACAUGCAGUCUCUAAUUGUUUCGUUGUAUCUAAGAGGGUGAAAAUAGAGGUGGCAUAUGAAAAAAACCUUCCAUUUUCAUUGAGCGUACCCAUAUUCUAUGGCAUUUCUUACCAGUCAGUAGGAGUUUUUUUUCCUACUGAUCAGUACUACUGAAUUACCCAAAGGCAAAAAUAUUCCCUAUUGUUUCUUUGUUUUCUAACUUUGUUCUCUAGCUUCUAGGUAGAUGUUAACUUUUUGGUAUUUAAAUGUGCACACUCCCUGAGACCAAACUGCCUCAGCAAGUUUUACUUCAAUAUUAAUGGGCAAGAUGAAUAUUGUUUGAUGUUUCACUGUUAGCAAAAGGGAGGAGAAAGAACUAGAACUAAGUUCAAUUGAACCAUUACUAUGCAGGGUCUAUACAGUCAUGAUUAUUAUCUCAGAUUCCAAAUUCUGUUUACCAAAAAUUAUGAUUAUCAAAUUGUUAAGAUAGUAAAUUUUAUGUGUAUUUUUACCACAAUAAAAAGUUGGAAAAAAUGAUUUGACUAUAUCCAAGUUUGCAGAGUUGGUAAGUAGCUUUUUAUUGCAAAAAACUUGCUGAUUUGUGAAAGAACCUUCAUUUCCAAAUUAGGAAUAAUUUCCUGCAAGGAAAGACUAUGCUGUGUGUGUGCCUGUGUGCUCUUGUGUGUGUGUGUGUGUGUGUGUGUGUGUGUGUGUGUGUAACUCUUCUGUUGUGAAUCCAUCAGUGGUUUUGCAUUGUUUACAGGAUAAUGCUCAGAAUCCAUAACAAGGUCAGUAAACUCAUCUAUCAUUUCCUAGGCAUGUCUGUUAUCUGAUCUCUAGCCUUUCUUCUCCCAUCGUCGCCAAGUUUAGUUCUACUUGACUUCCUUCACUUCCUUCCCAUUGACCUAGGGAGCACCUCUAAGACUGAAAGGGAAGUCGUGGGCUUGGUGGAGUUGAGGUGGGGAAUCUAUGAACAGAUAAAUCAGAUAGAAGCAUUGUUUGGUAGAAAGAAGAGCUCAUGAGUGGCAGUAGAGAUUGAGUUAAAGAGUGGGAUGAAAAAGAAUCAAAAGGAAGUAGUACGAUUUGGUGACCAAUUUGUUAGAAGGGAUGAGGGGCAGUAAGUAGUCAGUGAUGACCCCGAGGUUUCUAGCUGGACCUAGAAUUGUCCAACUAGUCCAAAAAUGAAAAAAUUUGCCUUUAACUAAGAUGAGUUUGACAAAAGAUGAAGUAAAUUUGAGGGUGUAGGUAAUGAAAACAAGUUGGCUUUUUCUCCCUUGAUGGCAAAUUUCAGUGUGUAUGGAUGUAUACAUUUGUGUAUUUGUGUGUUUGUCAAUACCCAUUGAUUUUUCUUAGGUUAUAUUCAAAUACUGAAGUUGUACUAAUUAAGCAACCGAAGUGUAUGCUUUCAGCAUGGUACCUUUCACACAGCACCAAACAUCAUUAUAUUAUUUUCUAUUGUAGCAUAACAAAUCACAACAAAAUUAGCAUCUUAAAACAAUACACAUUUGUUACUUUACAGUUUCCAUGGGUCAGGAGACUGCACUUGACUUAGCUGGGUUUUCUGUUCAGGGUCUCAAAAGGCUUUAAGAAAGGUGUUGGCCAGGAUUGGGGUCUCAUUUGAGGUUCUGGCUCCUUUUUCCAUAUCAGGUGGCUGUUGGCAGAAUCAAUUUCUUAACCACUGUAAAAUUCCUUGAAGCUUGUUUCUUCAAGGUCAGCAGGAGAAAGAAACUCUGACUUCUGACUUCUAGGCCAUUUUUUGGAGAGCUAAUCACUUGCUUAGACCAGACCAACCCUGAAUAACCUUUGAUUAACUUAAAGUCAACUGAUUAAGGAUGCUAAUUACAUUUGAACAAUCCUUUAACUUUGCCAUAUUCCACUGGUUAAAAGAAAAUUACAGAUGUUGACCAUCUGGGAGGAGAUAGUGUAAGGGCCUGAGCUAUUGGAGAUCAUCUUAGAAUUCUGCCCACCACAAUCGUGUUCUAUGUUUAUGCAGGUAUAUGUGUGAGUGUGUAUUUAUGUGUGUAGUUAAUAACUUAAAAAAUGAAUUACAUGUAUCCCAAAACAAGCGGCAACUGCACAUCCCAUGCCUUCUUACUUGGAUUAGUUUUUCCUGAAGUUACUCCAGGGUCCUGUCUUCCCAUUGUUAGGUUUCCUUUCUGCUGUCCUGGCUUCACCUUUCGUAGCCAAGAAAGCACUAAAUUUGGCUCUGAAAUGUACAUUUCAGUACAAUCUCCCUGUCUUGGCAGCAGUGGUGAGGCUUUAGCAAAUCGUUUGUGAUCCCAAAUGAGCUUCAGCAGUUUGGAGUGAGGCCAUGGCCCACAUGUUUGAUGCCACCAGCCUGAUUUUUGUAAUGAAAACUAUAUCAAUAAGGUAAGUAGUCCCUUCUUAGGCAUGCAUUCUUUUCCAAUUUUAUGUAGUGGUCAGUCAUUCUUACAGUGAUACAAAUAAAUAUUUAUGCUUUCAUGUCUUUUAAGCUUUUAGCAACGUUAAAAGAAAAGGAGUCUGUAAUGAAUGAAAUUGUCCCAUUGAACUUAUUUUUUCAGCUUUUGAGGAUAUAUCGAGUGUACUUCUUAAAACUGAACAUGUGCAUUUGUUACAUUUAUAUAUGUUUCCACAUAUCACUUUGUAAAAGAAUUAGAGAGAGCUUAUGAAAUAGAAUUUAAGUUGAUUUGGUAUGAGCAAAAUAUAUUGUUGGAAUGAAGCAAAGGAAAGAAAGCAUAAGAGCCAUCAUAGUUAAUUCUGUUUAACUUGUUUUAACUCUAUCAAGGUUGGGCCAAUGUGGCAAUUUAUUAAAUAAUUUGCUCUCAUUAAUGCAAAAGAAGAAAUGUUCCUUAGGGAAAAACAUGUUGUCUUGGGUACAAAAUUCCAGCAAUGUUUUUUACCACAUGAGACUUUAUGGAAAAUUCCAGAUAACAGACCUUGCCCUAAUGGUAUGUGGGCAACAAAUCCAGAAGUAUCUAUCAUAGCAUUCUUUCUUAUAACAAAUUUUAUUAGAAGCCAAGGCUAGAAUGUUGAAGCUGGACUCCGGGCAGGUGAUUCAAAUGCCAUACUAUUACUUUCCUAGCAUGGACAGUUCUGGUUAUUAACUCACUCUUACAUAAAACUUUUAGAACCAGAGGAUUGGAGGGAUGCUGACAUUCCUUAGAUAUCUUAGGUAAUAAUCCUGAAAAUUCACUUUUCCUGAAGUUUUUGAUAGCAGAUAGUAAGAAAAUUUCACUUUAAAACUCACUUUGAGGACCUGAAAUGUUAUAUUCCACUUUGCUGAUUGAGGUCAAGGACUAUUGUUUGAACCUCAAACAAGCAGGUGGUGAGGUUCACUUUCAACUGGUAAUUACGAGAAAACGAACCAUUAUGCUAGAUGCAAGGCCACCUCAUCUUGCAUCCGGUAAACAUGCCAACAAAAACACAAACAAGUGUCUGUAAUACCUUUCAACAGCUCCCUGUUGCUCUCAUUAUAAAUAUGGAAAUCCUUACCAUGGCAUUCAGGAAUCUGCAUGAUCUGAUGCAUGUGUAUAUUGACAGCACAUCUUGUAUCAUUCGUGACAUCACUCUCUAUUAUUUGGCUGAUUUUGACCUAAUUCAGCACUUGGAAACCACCAUACUCACUCCUGCCUUGGAGUUUUUAUGCAUACUGUUUCCUCUACACUGAAUAAUACCUCCAAACCCUACCGUCACUGCCUAUUAACCCCCUACUUCUCCUGUUUCUCAGUUCAAAUCUCCCUUUUUCUGAUUAUGUGUCUCUGAUUCUCCAAAUCUUGCCAGUUGGCCCUGUUAGGGACUCUCAGAGCUUACUGUAGUUUUAUUUCAUCCAUAGCAGCUUAUGAGAUUUUUUUCAUUAAUGUCUAUUAGCCAGAUCGUCAGCUCCAUGAAGGCAGGUUGCAGGCUUGUUUUUCUGACCACUCUAUCAUCAACCCAGAGCACAAUAAAUGAACAUAAAGUGAAUUCAAUAAAAAUGUGCUGAAAGGAUAAACUACUGUUAUUUACUACAUUAAUUACAACUUUUGUUAGCCCCUUACAAAAGAUGCUUUCUUAGAUGCUGCAUUUCCCAUUCUACAGAGGUUGAAUAAUAUGACUAUGAUAGUUUUAGAGGAGAUGGGAAAUAGUUUGGUAUUUCUUAAAUUAAAAUAUGAAUCUGUUAGAGCUAGAAUUUUAUUUUCUGAAAGAUAAUCUUGUUUAGCCAGUGUGAGAAACUACAUUACACAAAGAACAUUUUGCUAGUAUUAUUUCGCAGGAGAACUAAACUUGGUAAACUGUCGUUCCUAGAAGAUUGUUUUUAUCAGGCACCGUUGCCUUCUUUGAGCUUUAUGAACUCAUGUUUUAGGACAGUUAGACAUUACUGAUGGAGUUAGAGAAUACUAGAAAGUGAACUUCAGCUAAAGAAAGUGAUCUUUUUUCUCUAAUGGCAAUUCAGUUGCAAAGUUCUAUUUUUAUUCUAAGGGGCUCAUAGAGGGUGGUCCCCAGGAUUCUCUUAGGGGUCUGUGAGACCAUACAUAUUUUCAUAAUAACACCAACAUGUCAUUUGUAAUUUUCACUGUACAUUUUCUCAGCAGAGUUCUCCAGAAGCUAUACAAUGUGAUGCAUAUUAUUUCAUAACAGAUUGAAUACGGAAGCAGACAUGAGAACCUAGAUGUCUUCCAUUAGGUGGCACAAAUAAAAAACAUUGUCACUCUUCUCACAGUUUUUUGGAAAAUAGUUAUUUUUACCGAAAAUAAAUUUAUUAUAUUUUUUGAAAAUGAAUUAGUAAAUAAAUAUUUAUAAUUGUCUCAGUUUUAAGAUGGCAAAUAUUCCACAUAAACAAGAAAUCUGUGAGUCUUCAAUAAUUUUUAAGACUAUAAAGAGAUUCUGAUACCCAGAUAUUUGAGAAUCACUUCUCCGAGCCAUUUUAUUGACACAAUUUUACUUGACUUUGCAACCUGACCGUUUUAGAUACCUUUUCUUUCCAGUCUUUUCUAAAAGAUCAAUUGAUUAAUUGGGUUGACUCGAUGAUACAAGCACACGAUCUUCAGUAUCAAAAGAUACUCAUGACCAGUAAACCCCUCUUUAGUUCUCAAUUAUCCAAUUCCCUUUCCUGGAGGCAACUGCUACUCUUGUAUUUCCUAAUGGAGAUCUUUUAUGUGUUUACUCAAAUGCUAAGACAUAAUAUAUCAUAUUCUGCUUCCUGCUUAUCUUCCCUAAUGAUAUAGCAAGGAGAUUGAUUCCUAACUCUGCAUGCAAAUCUGCCAUAGUGCUUUUAGCAAUUGCAGUAUCGUCCAUGAUCUGGAUGAGACAUAAUUUCACCAGACUCCUGUUGGAGUCUGUUGGAUUGUUUCCCAUCCUUUGUCACUACCUACAGUGUAGUGAUGACUAUUCUUUUACUUAUUUGUUCAUGUAAAGUAAAUAUAUCUCUAGAAUUAAUAUUUGGAGGUGGAAUUCCCAAGUCAAAGGAAGGAAAUACAUAUUUUUUAAAAGGAUUUUAGUAGAUUGUUCUGAAAAAAAUUACACCAAACUUACCCUCACAUGACUAUUUUUGCUUUUUCUCAGUAUACUUUUUAAUAGAUUGCAUUAUAAAAUUUUAAUAUUUACCAUUUAAAUAAGUGAAAGCAAUGUCUAAUUGCAGUUUUAAUUUUAUUUUUAUUAAGGAAGUUAAUCUUUUUUUUUUAGCUGAAGUCGAAAAAUAUGUUCAUCUCUUUUUCAUUGAAGCUCAUUAGUUUCCAAAAAUGUGUCCUCAUUUCAUACAAAGUAUCUUUGAACCAUUGCCAGGUCAUAGAAGUGACUCUUGAAGAUCUUCUUCUCUGGGAUCAAGGGUCACAUCUCGUUCUCCUGGCUUCAUACCCUUCUCUCUCUACACAUCUCAAUUAAGUAAGCUUCCUUUCUUAUCCUCUGAAAUUAUAAUCAUCUUUAGGCUCCCAGAUAUAGGUGACCUGUGCCAUCUAGUCUGACUUCCAGUUUGCAAAUUAUCUUCAAAAAGUGGAAACAGCUUUUACUUUCUACUUUAUAAAUUCAUACGUGCUCAGGAGGACUUUUAUUAAGAUUGGGACAUAUUGCUUAGUUAGUCUCUAGGGUGGAAUCAUAAUUAAUGAAAGAACUCUGUCUGAUGGAAGGCUUAGUCUAACAAAUCAUCCUAAAACUUCAUUAGACAUUGUGUAAUCCCCAUGGACACUGUUGAAGAGACACUUGAUUAGGCAGAUCGUGACAACUUCAGCUUUGCCCAUCAUACAUCCUCCAGAGACUCCUCAAACUCAAGACAGACUUUCUACAGGAAGGAAUGGCUGUUUCUAUUUCAGAAUAUUACUGAUACCAGAGCUUUGCUGCAUCUUCAUGUACUUUCCUUUAUUUUUAUUUUUAUUUUUUUACAGACAAAAUCUUGCUCUGUUGCCCAGGCUGGAGUGCAGUGGCAUCAUCAUAGUUCACUGUCACCUCAAACUCCUGGGCUCAAGUGAUCCUCCUGCCCCAGCCUUCCGGAGUGCUAGGAUUACAGGAGUGAGCCACCACACCCAGUCUUCAUGUACUUUCUUAUGUAAAUUUAUUUUGUUUGAGAUUUUCUUUGUGAUGGAAUAAGCAAUUCCUUCCUUAACUCAUUUCCCGAGACAUUUUUGGAAUUUGCAAUAUAUAUGAAAAAGCACUUAUUCUCAGUGAUGGAAACACCAUUAUUUCUUUUACUAGAAUGUGAUCUUCUGGUUUUAAUAUUUAUGUCUCUGUGCCAAGGUGAAAAUAUUGUAGAAAUGAAAGUAUAAUGAGAGAGAAUCCAGAUAAUAAGAUUUUCAAUAAACAAAAAAAGAAGUAUGUAUAGGAGUCCUGUCUGCUGCAAAUUUUAAGAAUGGUUUUCUGUCAACAUACAGUUGUCAUUGCUUACUGAAAACUUCUAUAAAAAACAAGACACAAAUGAUUGAGAAGAUAGUAGAGACUGAAACUAGAACUGUUGAUUUAAUAAGCUUUCUUACUCAUAUACUUAAUCCACAGUAAAUUAUUAGCAAAUUACAUUUUCAUAGUAUUUCAGAAUUAAAAGAUCAUAGUCAGGGCUUAAAGGAAUCCAGUUGUUUUAACAGUGCUGGAGGCAAAGCGUUCUAGCAGCAAUCACCUGUCAGAAUGACUUAGGUUGGAUUGUUUGCACCACACACUUUACUAUAGUUACAUGUCUUUCAUGUCCCUUUGUAUCUCUGACUCAGUUUCCUCAUCAGUGGUAAUAGCAGAACUUACAUUUUAGUGGGAGGAUUAAAAUAAUGUACAUGAAAUCAAAUAUAUAAGUCAGCACUCAAUAAAUAAUAGUUUGUCAUCAUUAUUACUAUAGUAAAUGACCACUAUCUGAAAUGGGAUAUAAAAAGGAAAGUGAAAUUACUAAAUAAAUAUGAGCGUACAAAGACCUGACAAUUUAGAUACAAUAUACUCACUCUGUCUCAAAAUAGUGUCUUCUGAAGCUUUAGUCAGAAUAUUAUGGUGACAUUUCUGCUAGAUUUGUCAUUGAGUUGCUGGGUUUGGGGAAGAACCUAGGCUACACAUUUCUCUUGGCUCUACAAAAGGCUGUGGCAGUGGGUCCCUGAGUAAACCACCAGAAGAAACCUAAGGGGCACCUCUGUUUUUCAGUUAAUCAGUUUUAGCUCAACUGGGAUUUAAUCCUGAAAAUCUAAAUUACAUUUACAGACUUUAAGUUAUUGUGAAUAUUUACACUACAUGGGAGAAUUACCAAAAUAUAUUCGUUACUCAUACAGUUUUCGAAAAACAGGUGAGACAUCUUCCAGUUAAAUUCAUCUUCCUUUUAUGUUUAAUCUAUUGAAGAAUUCUAAACAUUGUUUUGCACCAAAUUGCUCCCUUAAGUUUUAAGAGCCACCUAGUUUGGGCAUCAGAUGUUCUCCUUUAUUUCUGUAAAAAUCUUGCAAAUUCACUCCCAGAAAGAAAUGUAGAGAAUACUAGGCUAUUUCACAGAAAAGGCUUGCUGCCCUUUCCUGAUAACAAGGUAGUUAUUAUUCUUGGCUGAGCCUGUCCCAGAAAGAGUCUUAGGUGACCUGGUGUGGGAAUUGCUAAAUCUCAGGCUACUCACUGAGACUGUCUGCUGCUGUGCUGGGCACUGCAGUCCUCCAGAGCAGGCCUGUCAGCAUCCUACCGUGCUCUGAGUAGGUCCACUGGGGAACCUGGUGGAGUGACAUCAUGUAUCAGCCUCUAGCAGCAACUCCUCUCUGUAGCCCCAUGUCUUUCCUGUGGUACAAAGGAACAAGUGCUACAGGGCAUGUCUGUAAUCGUUAUCCCAAGGGCACGCUCCACAGGCAUCUAAGGGUGAAAGGUACUGCCAGUCUGUUGGGUUUGUUAUUUCCAUAGAGCUACACAGGAAAUAACACCACCAAAAAUAACACAUUCAAACUCAGAGGGCAAUCUUCCCUAACUAUUCAUAGGCACACGUCAGGCAUUCUAUACAUAUACCCAGCUCUUUGCUAAGCAUAGUGAAAUGCCCUUUUACAUUGCAAUUAAUUAUUAGCCAACAUUGAAUAAUUAUUGGUGAGAGGGUAAAGGGCAAGUGAAAUAAAAAUAGAGCUGGUUUAUUUUUAGGAAGACACUAUUUUAAUGUGUUGAUUAAUCAGACAGGUGUUUAAAAGCAUUUGUUAGAGUCAAUUCACAGAAAAUCUCUUUUACAUGCAGGUUACAGCCAAAGAAAGAAAUAAUAGCCAACACAUUUACGAUUUCAAUUGCAAAAAUUGUCAUAUUUUUGAACUUGUGUGGGUAUUUGAAAAUAUUAGCUCCUACUAGGUCCAGUUAAAGCUUUUAAUUCUAUAAGGUUUCAGACUACCAGCUGACCACUGCUCAGCAUCCCCUGGACUCCAAGGGUUUCAUCUAAGACAUCUAAGGAGAAUGUCUACCCGCACAUCGCACUAAUGCCCAUGACUGCACUGCUUGAACCAUGAGGUUAUUGAACAGAAAGCAAAUCCUUUUCUGAAGAGCCUCCAAGAUGUGGAUAUUUCAGUUAAUUUCAGCUCCCUGCCAGCUCAGAAGAAUGAUGCUGUGCUGUGUGCUGUUCCCAUGAAUACUACACGCAGGGCACUGCUCAGUGACUCAGCCUUCCAGGGAGCCAGUCAGGGUUUUGAAGCUGCAUCGUCCCUUUCAUCCUUGAAGUUCUUUUGGAUUUCAUCAAUGGCAUGGAGGGAUAUUUUUAAAACAAUGGAGAUUUUUCAGGACUGGCAAAAGGGCUCCCCUCGUCACAGUGCCAAAACCAUCACAAACAUAAGUUAUGUUAAAAAAAAUCCUAAACUAAAAAUAUCUGGUACUUAGGGAACUAAAAGACAUCUCAUGUUUGCUAUCAUUUCCAUCAGAGCUCAGGUCAAUGGACAGAGAUCAAUACCAAAACAAACAUGCAUACUUAGAGCAUAAAUUCAGAUAAAUGCUGGAGAAUUAACAUGUAGAUAGAAGUACCAUCAUGCCUAAAACAAAAACUCAGUCCAAUGGUUGUUUCAGUGAACUGACUAGCCUUCAUAGAGAAAAGUUUAUUCUUUUCAAACUGAAGUUAAAAGAUAUUCGGUGCUUCAUUCGAAAUUUUCUAUUUCAUGAUUUUUGAAGUAGUGAUUUAGAACUCUUUAGGACUAUAGAAAAUCAUUUUUCUUCUAAAAUGUUGUCUUAGUCCUAAAUUAGAAAAAAAAAUAGUAAGAAAUUAACAAAACAAAAAGUUAAUAGUAUUAUUCACAUAUAUAAAUAAUGGGCCAUCAUGGUAUCUGAUUUUGAUAAAAGGAAAAUAUACUCUGGGAUUAUUUUUCCAAAUUCUGGCACUCUAUUUAUGAGUACCUAGACAGACACUAGAGUCUCAUGGAAUUUAGUAUUAGAAAUGCUACUUUGGAGUACAUUUGAUGUCAUUCAAGUUAAAAAAUUAAGGAAGUAGAUUUUCAAAAUAGGUAGCAUAAAAUGUAAAAUUAUUGAAUGUUGGAGCAAGAAGAUCAUCUAAUGCCCUAGCAGUUCUUAAUGUUGCUUGGGUCAUGGAUCCCUUAAGAACACGAUAAGAGUUUACCUUCUUCCUCCCUAGAAAAUAUACUGCUUUUUCUUUUAUAAUUAAAACAAUAAUAUGAAAGUUAAUCUUAGUCCAGAAGUCCUAAUAGCCCAAGAAUAGAAAUGUCAAAUUCAUCUCAUAUCAUUAGUUUGUAAUUUUCCGUUGCCCUUUUAAUUCCAAUAACACAGAAGCUGUAAAACUGCUUGUCAUCUGACUUUUUAUUUGUCAUUACCCAAUUGAGCUUCUUAUAUUACAGAUAAGGAAAUUGAGGCACAGAGAUAUUAAGAAACUUUUCCGCAGGAAAAAAAAUCUGCUAGUUAUUGAGCUGGGAUUCAAAUUCAGGUAGCUGAUUCUAGUGUGCAUGUGCUAACCACAGCACAUACUGUGGCUAACCAUGCCUACACUCAUGCUCAAAACUACGCUGUGAUAGGUCUUAUUAGCAUCCCCAUUUUACAGACGUGGAGAUUGAGGUGUAGAGUGGUUAAGUGACCUGGCAAAGGUGGCAAAACUAGCAUCACAGUCAGCCAGUCUGGUUCCAGAGGUAGGAACUAAACCAACACACUGCCCUUCACAUGCCUGUGUGUGAGUUCGCACACCCACACAAUACAUGAAUUUGUACAUAUGUAUCUUAGAGGUCAGGGUAAGCUGAGGAUACGCAUGACAAAUGGGAUUAGAUAUGACUUUUUCCUUCUUUCUUUCUUAGUUUUCUAAUUAUUUUGUUUUAAGCAAGCAUUAUUUUGGAAUAAAAAUUAUAAAUAUUAUUUUUAAAAAGCAAACAGGUUGAUAACUUAAAAUGUGUUAGCUGGUGAAACGUCCAGCCUUAUGGAGUAGGCCCCUGAGGUAUAGAAAUGGUUUUGAUGGCAUAGGAUGUAGCCUUGGGAAUGUCCUGGAAGAGUAGGAGCGGCCAGUUAGGCAUUAACACUCAGGAGUAAGGAGACUGCAUUUGGGAUGCUCAGCUGAUUGGAGGGUGGUGUUGAGUGGUCCCCUGGGCAGUGAGAAGAGAGGCCAAUAGCACUGGCACAGGAGGACAAGCAAGUUGUUCUAAGUAAACUCUCAAAUGAACUGAGAGAUAAAAACUCUAAAUUUGGACUGCUUCACAAUUUGCCUAAGGCUGGCCCUACUCAGGCCUUUGCCAGCUGUUGUUUUCUUUUAAGCCUCUGAUCUGCAGGAAAACAGUCCUGAUUUCACAAAGCUUUAACAGAAUUUUUAUAAACGCAGAUUUGGGGCUCCAUAUCCACAAAGUUUUCCAUCCUUUAUUUUGAGAAUCUGCAUAUUUAACAAUGAUCCUCCCCAAGGAACUGCAAUGCAAAUGUCCAAAUACAGUCCUUGGUAAUAUGUGUUUUCACAGGGUGAAGUUUUUGUCCAACACUGUGAGAUGAGAGCUGGGGGAAAAAAAAUGAACAUUAACCAUAGAACAGGAAUGCAAAUUUUCUGAAAAGUAGAGCGCUACUCCUCUCCUCUCUUUUUCUCCAUAUAAUUGAAGAGACACUCAAAUUGAUUGUUUUCCCAUUGUUUCGAAUGGUUGCUCCAUGUAAUUACUGAACUGAACUGGUAGUUUGGGGGGAAUAGGGGAAAUUCAGAGAAUGUUGUGUAGAAGUAGAAGUCUACCUAUGUCAAUGACCUAUUUUAGCAUUUUUCUCUAUUAACUGGCUAACAAUUCGCUUGGAAACUCCUCCAGCUGAGGCUUUGUUAGGCUUUGCUGAAAAUAAAUUAGGUGACUCAUUAAAUUGUUGCUGGAGUUAAAAAAAAUUAGGCUUAUUGAUUCUUAAAUUUCUGCUAAAAAUGUUGCUAAAUUAAAUAUAGGUUAUUGUCUUUAUCAAAACAAAUAACCCACAGCUUCUGUAUUGCUUUAUCUGUAUUCAAAAGUUUGGGCCGGGCGCAGUGGCUCAUGCCUGUAAUCCCAGCACUUUGGGAGGCUGAGGCGGGUGGAUCACCAGAGGUCAGGAGUUCGAAACCAGCCUGGCCAACAUGGCGAAACUCCAUCUCUAGUAAAAAUACA